UCCGGCUAUAUCACGUUGAAACACCGGAUCCUGUACGGUCACUGAAGUUAAGCAACGUCGAGCCUGGUCAGUACCUAGAGGAGUGACCAUUUGCGAAUACAAGGUGUUGUAAG